AGUGAACGCUGGCGGUAGGCCUAACACAUGCAAGUCGAACGGCAGCACAGUAAGAGCUUGCUCUUACGGGUGGCGGGUGGCGGACGGGUGAGGAAUACAUCGGAAUCUACUUUUUCGUGGGGGAUAACGGAGGGAAACUUACGCUAAUACCGCAUACGAUCUACGGGUGAAAGCAGGGGAUCUUCGCACCUUGCGCGAUUGAAUGAGCCGAUGUCGGAUUAGCUAGUUGGCGGGGUAAAGGCCCACCAAGGCGACGAUCCGUAGCUGGUCUGAGAGGAUGAUCAGCCACACUGGAACUGAGACACGGUCCAGGCUCCUACGGGAGGCAGCAGUAGGGAAUAUUGGACAAUGGGCGCAAGCCUGAUCCAGCCAUACCGCGUGGGUGAAGAAGGCCUUCGGGUCGUAAAGCCCUUUUGUUGGGAAAGAACAGCUGUAGGUUAAUACGCCGCUGUUCUGACGGUACCCAAUGAAUAAGCACCGGCUAACUACGUG
rnacentral:rRNA from 1 species